ACUUUUAGGCCUCGGGGGAUAAAUCGAAUUUUAUUUGGAAUUUUAGAACCGUAGAGGGUGAUAGUCCCGUAGAUAUAUUCUCUUUUUGAGGUUUUGUGUAUGAUUUUUUCUUGAGUAGGAUCCGUUGGAUAUCGGGUUUGAAUGUGGGAGGCAUCAACUUCCAAUUCUAAAUACGUCUCAAGACCGAUAGAGUAUUAGUACCGUGAGGGAAUGCUGAAAAGUACCCCUAUAGGGGGGUGAAAAGUACCUGAAACCAGAUAGUGACAGCCAGAUGUGGCGCGUAAGGAAUGAAUUCUUCCGAAAGAAUCAGUGGUAACAUUGUAGUAUGAGGAGGUUGGACUAGUGUUGCAUCGUCCGUCUUGAAACACGGGCCAGGGAGUUCUUUGUUGUGGUGAGGCUAAAAGGUUUUUAUCCUUGUAGUCGUAGGGAAACCGAUAUGCCCGCAGCGUUGUUGAGGGGCAAGGUCUUAAUAGGGCCUGGAAUCACAGCAUUGAAACCCGAAGCCGGUCGAUCUAUUCCUGAGCAGGAUGAAGUCGCUCUUACGAGCGAUGGAGGUUCGCAGGGUUGUUGUUCUGCAAAACACUCUUUUGACUUGGGAAUAGUGGUGAAAGGCCAAUCAAGGCCGGCGACAGCUGGUUCCACUCGAAAUGACUCUAAGGUCAGCCUGACUGGAGGUUGGUGGCGGGGUAGAGCACUAAUUGGACGUUUAGGGAGGGAAACUUCUCGGCGUACUGUAAAACUCCGAACUCGUCACCGUCGUAGAAGGUUGGAGUGAGGGGCGCGGGGUAAGCUUGUGUCCCGAAAGAGAAACAACUCAGACUAUGGUUAAGGCCCCUAAAUACUGGAUAAGUGUAAGGGAGUCUUUGGCCCAAGACAAUGGGAAGGUGGGCUUAGAAGCAGCCACCCUUUAACGAGUUCGUAACAGAUCACCCAUCGAGGUCAGAGGCACCUAAAAUGGACGGGAAUUAAUCCAGUUGCCGAUACCAUGGAACACCUUUUUUUUGGUGAUUGUGUAGAGUGGCGACCUGUGUGGGUUGAAGAGGGGGCGUGAGUUCCUUUGGACCUUGCAGGUAUGUGGAUCCUGGUAGUAGUAGCAGCAAAGUGAGGUGAGAAUCCUUACCGCCGGAGGGGCUAGGGUUCCUUGGCAAUGUUCGUCAGCCAAGGGUUAGUCGAUCCUAAGGUCAGUCAUAAGUUGAGCUGGUCGAAAGGGAAGCAGGUUAAUAUUCCUGUACAUAGUAAAUUUGCGGUGACGUUGAGGGCUAAUUUCUGACACUUCGAGAUAUGUUUUGUAGGAUUGUCGUCCUAUUUACGUGUUUAAGCCUGGGGAGAGGUGUAAUAGCGAGAACCAGGUGUAGGCAUUAUGAGCUGGUCGUUUUUGUACUGGUUUAACUGAUUCAUGGAGUCCUUGAAAAGGGAGUUAGUUUUGUAUUUUACUAUUUCGUACCGAGAUCCGUCACAGGUGCCCCUAGCUGAGUAGGCUAAGGCGUUUUAAGGUAAACUAGCUAAGGGAAAUCGGCAAAAUGGCCCCGUAACUUUGGAAGAAGGGGUGCCAGCUAUGUGAAUAGCUGGUCUCAGUGACUAGGGGGGCCCGACUGUUUAAUAAAAACAUAGCUCUCUGCUAGCCCGUAAGGGUGUGUACAGAGGGCGACACCUGCCCAGUGCUGGCACGUGAAGCUGGAGUUCAGUUCAGUGAAGCGCCAGUAAACGGCGGGGGUAACUAUAACCCUCUUAAGGUAGCGAAAUGCCUUGUCGGACAAGUACCGACCUGCAUGAAUGGUAGAACGAGGUCCCCACUGUCCCUAGCUAGAACUUAGUGAACCUGCUAUUCUGGUGCACAAGCCAGAGUCUUCCAUUGGGAAGCGAAGACCCCGUAGAGUUUUACUGCAGUCUGUCGUUGAAGCUUGGUUAUAGGUAUGCAGUGUAAGUGGGAGAAUUCGAUUAUAAGUCGCCAGGUUUAUAUGAUUCGUUCUUGAGACACCACUUUCUUAUGACUGUGUUUCUAACUUACUUAUGUGUGAGGACAUCGGUAGAUGGGCAGUUCGGCUGGGGCGGCACGGGCUUGAAAUGGUAUCAAGCCCGCCCAAAGGUCAACUCAGGUGGGACAGAGAUCCACCGUAGAGUGUAAGGGCAAAAGUUGGCCUGACUGUAUUUCGAUCAGCAAGAAAUCCAGAGGCGAAAGCCGGGCCUAGCGAACCUCAGAGUCCUCCUUGAUGGGGGCCUGAGAUGA
rnacentral:rRNA from 1 species